GCCCAGGACUUGCAGCGUGGAAUUGGUGGAC
rnacentral:piRNA from 1 species